AAUUGGGACAUCUUAUUGUCAGGAUGUUUACAGAAAUGUGGCAAUCACAUCGUUAUGGCAACAAAUAAAUACCAGGUAAAUAGCAUCUAGAAGUAUUACGUUCAUUUUCUCUCUCGGUGGGUUCGGGUAAGAUUUAAAUAGCCCCGAUCGUACGACCCUGACUAAGUAUCGCGUGUUCCUGCCUCGUACGUGCGCUGUUCACACCGCUUCAGUCGUGUAUAGGCGCGAGGAGAGAUCAGAGCGGAGAGAUAAAAGUGAAACGGGGGCACGCAAGGACAGGAUGGGUGUGGUGAAUUCAGUCAAAAGUUUCCUGUACUUCUGGUACCUACAGUACACCCUUAACACUAGUAUUUAUAUGCUGGAACCGCUGGAACAGUUUCUAUUUAAUGUAUUUUUAGUUGGGUUUUUAUCCAUCUCUGCGUAUACUUUCUAUGUGUUUGUGCCAGCGCAUGUUGUCCAGAUUUAUGAGCUAAUUUUUGGACUUCGACAAGUACCUGCUGCGACAUAAAGUGAAGCAACCACACUACGAAAUAAACUACAAGUCCGAGCUAUUUGUCUUGCCAGUUUGUCGUAUGAGAGACCCACACCAGGAAAUGGCGAUAUGCAGGACAUCUUGUACCUCCGGGUGUCAAUUACAUUGUUUUAAUGGAAUUUACCUUCACGAGAAAUUUCCUGGAAAAAAAUUAGUCGUCACUUUGUAAUGUUCAGUGAAUGUUGUUGACAUGUUUUAUUUUGACAAAUAACAGAGAUAUGUCACUUGUUGAUUGAUGAUCUUGUUUUGAAAUAAAUUGCAACAUUUAUUUAUUAA